rnacentral:lncRNA from 1 species
CCUCCAAAGUACUGCUUCUGUCUGGUCAGCCUGCUGCUACAGCCUUGGCCAGCUAGGCCCUGCUGCUCAUGGUGCCAGCCCAGAGAGGAGCCAGCCAGGAGAUGGUGAGUGCUGUGGGGGUGGGGAGCCCCAAGGAGAAGGCACUGAGGAGGAAAAACAGGAUUAGCAGCUCAAACUGCCAGAGACAGAAAGCAAGCUCAAAUGAGUGACCUGAAACAGCAAGUGGUAGAUUUAGAACAGAACCAAAAACUUUUGCUAGAAAAUCAGUUUUUACAAGAGAAAAUGCAUGGACUCGUAGUUGAGAACCAUGAGUGAAGACAGCACUUGGGGAUGGAUGCUCUGGUUACUGAAGAGGAGGCGAAAGCCAAGAUAAUUCCAUCUAUUUGAUGCUUGACAUCCCUAACUAGGCAGAUGAGGGUAGAAGUUAGUUGUGGUGGGGUUGGAAGUAAACAUCAACUACCUUCCCAGUAUGAUAUCCUGUUGGGCAUUCUGGACAACUUAGACCCACUAGUGUUCUUCAAAUGUCCUUCCCCAGGGUCUGCCAGCCUGGAGCAGCUCCCAGAGGUCUACUCAGAAGGACCCAAUUCCUAACCAGCCUCCCUUUCUCUGUCAGUGGGGACAUUAUCAGCCAAGCUUGAAGCUAUUAAUGAAC